rnacentral:rRNA from 1 species
UGGUGGAGUGAUUUGUCUGGUUAAUUCCGAUAACGAGCGAGACCUCAGCCUGCUAACUAGUCGUGGCAAGCGUCUAUCUUGGGCGUUUGCAGUGGGUGCUCCUCGCCUUCUUCGCAAGGAGGAGGAUGCGGGACGCCCAACGGGUCGGCUUCUUAGAGGGACUAUCGGUGUGUAGCCGAUGGAAGUUUGAGGCAAUAACA